rnacentral:misc_RNA from 1 species
UCCGCUUUGUGUGCGGCAGUCUCCUUAGAUAUGCAACUAAGGACAAGGGUUGCGCUCGUUGCGGGACUUAACCCAACAUCUCACGACACGAGCUGACGACAGCCAUGCAGCAUCUGUGUACCCGUCACGAAGGAGGCUCUCCUUUCAGAGAGUUGCGAGUACAUGUCAAGCCCAGGUAAGGUUCUUCGCGUCGCAUCGAAUUAAACCACACGCUCCGCUGCUUGUGCGGGUCCCCGUCAAUUCCUUUGAGUUUUAGUCUUGCGACCGUACUCCCCAGGCGGACCACUUAAUGCGUUAGCUUCGGCACGGGAGGGGUCAACACCCCCCACACCUAGUGGUCAUCGUUUACUGCUAGGACUAC